GUCCGCCCACAAUGCGCGGGCAUUAUCUUCCUGGUUGCGGUUUGCAAAAUAUUUUGACGCACCCAUCACAAACACAAACACCAUAAAAGCCCGUUAAGCUGCCGCCAAUAAAACAUGGCUAUCUCAUUUAAAGCCCAUUCGAUGAGUUGGCAACCAAGUUUGCGCACUUCUUUGGCGGCGGCCAUAUUUCACCAUCGAAGGUGCGUUCGCUCUUGGAACGGGAUGGAUCGCUGGAGUCGCACACGGCACACCAUCUUUAUUUUGAGACCAAGUAUCUUUACAACGCCUGUCAAUUGCGUGUAAUUACCUGAUUGCGCGCCCAUCACUUCGCUAUCAAUUUCACCACCCAGCUGAUGAAAUUUCGGUCGUACGAAAUCGUUGACCUAGGUUGGAAAUGUGACGAGUCUCGAUGGGAGCGACAGCUGGUCAAUUCCAUGAGCAACUUUUGUAGUGUCAGUCCAGGGGAAAGUUGCGCAACUGACUAUGAGAUUAUUCAUCCGCCCCGUUGUCUAGCCAAAAAAUGUAAUUGCUUAAUAGGGUCGAGAAAGUCGUUGGAAACUCCGGUCUGGAAAAAAAUUAGCUGAAUGGAAUCGUCGUGACAACUUUCUGACAACAUUUGGAUUCAUCUAGAGUCUAGAUUCUAGUCCAAAUGGUCAUGUGUGAAAACACAGAUGUGGAAUCUUUCUGCUAGUCGAAAACAAAUAUUUUCCACGCUGAUAAGACCGAAAGGCAUCUCCGGAGCUAACUGAAUAUGUAACCAGGUAAUUAGGAGCAGACCUGGACAACCCUGCUCCACUUCUGCAAGCACCACAAACUAGAUUAAAGCACUUGAUAUGUGGCCGCUAAAAAUAA